UGUAAACUACCACUGUAUUGCACAACAUCCUAUGUGAUAUGUUACAUAAGUAAUGAUUACCUAUUAGGGUGUCAUUUGCAUGUCAUAUGUUUGCACUUUUGCAAAAAAGUAAUCGGACACUACGCUGUUCAAUAGGUGUUGAACGAGGGUGAGGUCAGGGCUAUCGCUUCAUCCAAGCACCCUUGGUUUUUACAGCUUUUUAUAUGGAAUUGUACUACAUUACACAAUGUCAAUUAUAUCACAUAAUUGUAUGAUCCAUAAGUAAGUUUUAUAUGUAGGUUUCUGCUACACAAGGUUUGUCAGUGUUUCGUUCAUUUAAUGAGUGCCCUUCGGUGGCUUAACUGGCCUUCCUGUGUGUGCAAACGUAUAUUAAAGCCAAAACUUAAUGAGUGUAUGUCAUCGGCCUCCUGGCUGUCCUCAGCCUCCUUUCCUUUCAACCUUCCCAAUCAAUAAUUCACCUGGCAGCUCCUAUCGAUUGCAACUGCUCCCUUUUCUCUUUGCCCUCCACCGCUUGCUCGCUUGUUCCACACACUGAACUUUUGAUCACAGGAAGAAAAAGGGGAUAAAGAAGCUUCACUGUGUUGGACACGGUUUCUCAUCUUUGGACUACUGUAAUGUAGAAUUGAAGUAAAGGUCAUCGUUCGAGGACGCCCCAAGAAACUUCACACGUUUGAAUGGGAAUACAGACUACUUUUACCUGUUCUCUUCUUGGUGUUCUUUCUUAAAGCUUCUGUCUUUGAGUUUCAUAUUCGCCAUUGGGCACCAUGUCAGGAACCAGCAGUGACCAGCUGCACAGAUCCACCUUGUCUGUCUAUUCAAACCUGAUAGAACACUUCAACCCGGGCCUGCAGAAGCUUGUUGCUUUGGGAAACAGCUACGUCAAAGCUUUCCAAGCAUUAGCGGUUUGUAGUGAGGCCUACUUCAGUGCUGUUGCCAAGAUGGGCGACCAUGCACUGCACACACUAUCAUCUCGCUCUCUUGGGGACGUCCUCAUUCAGAUAUCCGAGACGCAAAGGAAACUCACUGCCGAGAUGGAGGGAGUGUUUCAAUGGUUCCAGGUGGAGGUGUUGCAAGCCAUGGAGAAGAACGUCAAGUUGGAUGAGGAGUACAUUGAUGGUAGCCGACGAGUGUACGAACUGGAGGUGAGGAACCAGGCAGAGGCUUUGGAGAAACAGCUACGACGAGGAGCCUUCAGAGACUCACUGGAGAGCAGCAACUACAUGCAGUACUUGAGGCAGAGCCAGCAGGAGAUCCUGAAGGAGGAGGAGAGGAGGUAUCGUUUUCUGGCAGAGAAACACUGUGGCCUCACUCAGUCGCUGCUCUUCCUGGUUAACAAGACAGGCAUGUCUCUUCAGCAAAAAGCAGAUGGAUGGAAGGAGAAAGUCAAUGAAACCCGAGGGUCCGGAUCUCGAACCCCUAGUAAUUUGGACCAAGAGGCACAGCUGCGAGGCUCCGUAAGUUCCCUGCUGCAGACGGUAGCCAAAGACGACGACAUGUCCUGGGCCAGACGGGAGCAACAGGCACUGGGCAAUGUUCCCUCGCGAGUGCCAUCGCCCCUUCCUAGCCGCUCUCGCUCUGGCUCAGUGGGAGAGUCCUUGGGUCUGGGUGGAGGCAGACCCAUGAGAGCCUUAGUGUCUCAUCCCUCCUCGUCCAACCCAAAGCUGCUGCCUUUCAACAAGGGGGAGAUGAUCACCGUGUUGGUCCAGGAACCGCGCAAUGGUUGGCUGUAUGGGCGCACCGACAGCAACCUGCGGCAGGGCUGGUUCCCUGCUGCUUAUGUGGGUCCCAUUGAGGAUUCAGACACAAGCAGUGACAGUUCUCUGAGAAGUAGCAGCAUGAACAACAUGCUGGAUCCCAACGGCACACACAACGACCAAUCAGAGGGCAGGAGCUACGGUGACAUUGCACUGCCAGCCACGCCUAAUCGCAGAGCGUCCAUGGACAUCCGGUCGUUCUCGCCGCUCCCCGAGAAGAAGGCAGAACUGACGACAAUUGAGAUUAAACCUCCUGCUCCUCCCCCUCCCCCUCCACCUCCUCCUCCUAAGAGUCUCAAUAUCCAAAGGGGGUCAGCUGACCUGCGACCGCUUUCGCCCAACCCUGAAUGGAAAAGCGAUGGUGACGCACAGGGUUUAUCACCCAACCCACCUGAGAAUCCUCUUUUUCCAAGAGGCACAAACCCGUUUGCCACUGUGAAGCUUCGCCCUACCAAGACCAAUGACAGGUCGGCCCCUAGCAUCCAUUAAUGCGCCAUGCCAGGACCUCGGGUUUGUAAGUGAAAAAACAAUAUAAUAUGAUCAAUCUGAAACAUGGAGGACAAUUUACUCGAAUAUCAACACUGUUGUUCUGUUUUAUCCGCAAAAUGUAGGCCCAGAUAUUUUUCAUAAUCCUCUCUCAUUUCAGGGGUGACCGUGCAUUGUAAUAUUCAAAGGCUUUGUUUUGAAUCUCUGCUGCCGCCUGUCUUCUUUUUGUUGCAGUGCCUGGUUUCUGGGUCACGGGGCGGAGCCACCUGCGUGCACACCUGAUACUCAUUGCCUCCUGACUACUUCAGCUCUCCAGUUCAUUCACUCGGCGCCAGUAGGUUCCUGAUGAUUCACACUUCCAAUUGUGUUAAUCUUUUCUGCUUUUGCCUCGCUAACGCUUCCUGUACCUGUGGCUCUGUCCUGGCACUGUCGUGUAGUGUUAGUGAUGGGUUGAUGAGGCGUCAUGAAGCGUUUCGACACAUUGCAAAACUGUAUUGAUACUGUGUCGAUACUGUGUCACUAAAUACUGACAUCUGCUGGACAUUAAAAAUCCCUACAGGCAACCUAUGGACCGAUUCAACUGACACUGAUUUUAUGCUAUAGUACAGGGGUCACCAACCUUUUUGAAACCAAAAACUACUUCUUGGGUACUGAUUAAUGCGAAGGGCUACCAGUUUGAUACACACUUAAAUAAAUAAAUAUAUUGUCAUUUGUAAGUUACACGUAAGUGUGAUUUAAACAAGAAUAGCUAAAUAAAUAAAUUUAUAUAUAUAAAAAAAUGGGUAUUUCUGUCUAUUUUUUUCCUUUUACAGAAGGUUUUUUGUAGAGAAUAAAUGAUGAAAAAAAACACUUAA